AUGGCCGGCUGGGGGCGGCGAGUGGCAGGGACGGGGUAUCAUGUGCCGGGCGGGGGGCGGCACGGACCUGCCCCGGGAUUCGGCCGCGGCGAGCCGAGGAAGCGGCUGCAGCGGUGCCCCGAGGGCCGGCCCCGGCCCCUCAACGGCGGGUGGGCAGCCCCUGCUCUGCCCGGCCGGGGAGGGCGCCGAGGAGCGGGGCGCUGCCCCUCUGCCUACAAAACCGCUCGGAGCCGCCCGGGCCCCUCGGCCGUCCCAGCUCGGGGGGGUCUCCCCGCCCCCGUUUUGGAGCGGCGGCAUGUUGGCUCGAUGACAGACUCGCCGUCUAAUCCAGGCGAAAAUAUAUUGUACCUCGGAGUAAUUGGGGCCGUUGCGAGAGAACCCUACAGAACGUUUCCGAGCGGGAACAAAACGGCGCGGGCAGCGCGGAGCGGCGCGGAACCGGAGCGGAACCGGCAUGGGUGGACGGCGGGGCCGCGGCCAGCUGGUCCCGGGCAGCCCCGACGAGCCCGGGCGGCGGCUCUGCGCUGCCCUCCCUUCUUUUCCUCCUUAAGGAAAAAAAAAAAAAAGGCUCAGAAAGUUAAAACUUUCUGCUCCAAAAAAAUUAAUCUCAACGUUUAGUGCUACUGUUUUUCUUUUGUCAAAUGUUUCCCCCGAUGCAGGCUGAGGACAUGAUCAGAAAUGCUCAGGGAGCAGAAAGCACAUUGAUUUCAGCUUGUUCUGUCCGCAGACAGGCCCUGACAAGGUUGUUAGAACAGUUGGGGAGGUCUCUACAAUCACUUAAUUACCAAAGCUGUCACUCAGACGGGACGGGACUGGCCGCUCCUGUGGCUGCGAGGAGCAUUCCACUACUGGAUUUCCUCCUUGAUGGAUCUGUGCUGAUGGCAUUGCAAAAUAAUUAUAGUGAAUUUUCUGAUGUGUGAUUUUAUUCCAAGUUCAUGCUUCAGAAAGGUAAUCGGAAGGAUGAGAAGGGUCAGUGCCAUUUCAGAUUACCUGAAGUCCAAGCGAAAGGGUAAAAAAAAAAAAAUGCCGAACCCAUAAAGCAGAGAGGAGCACUGAGAGGAAGGGGUGCACAGAUGCGUUUGAGAAUUGCUGAAGGGUAUUGCAAGCAAUUCGUCAAACUGUGCAAGUGAUUUCCUUCCGAGCCAACAAAUGGCAGAUUGAUUUUGUCCAACAUAGGUUUAGCCACAUUUAAAAUGAUCCAGCGGUUAUUACUGCGAUUGGCUUCGCAACUGACAGGCAGUCGUAGGCAGAAGUAGAAUAGAUCCUGUUUACAGGAGACGUGUUCUUAACUGCUGUCAAAUGCAGUUAAGUAAAUAUCAUUAGGAAGAAGUGCUGUUAAGAGAGAAAAAAAUGCCAAUCCGAUAAAUAUGCUUGUUCUCCUCUCAGAUCCCCGCUCUCCUCGGGAAGGCUCUGCGGGGAGGAGCCGGCGCUUCCCCGGCCGGGGGGCGCUUCCCUCGGAGCUUUGGCAACGGGGGAGGGAACUGCGGGGGGGCGAGCAGUCGGGGUCGGGGCUCCUCGGUCUUGCCGGGCCAAGGGGAAAGAACGCAGGGAGCUGCCCCGAGCAAGGCGCCCUGCGGCGGGGCGCGGGGGGCCAGCCGGGGCUGUCCCCUCUCGGCGGGGCUGGCAGAGGCGCGGAGCGGGCGAGGGAGCGGGAGGCCGCGGGCCACCCCGUCGGGGCUGCAGCCGGGCAGCACCGCUCCUCCACACCGCGCACCGCACCGCACCGCCAGCCCCUCUUGACCGGGCUGGGAGCUGCCCUCCGCUGCAGCGAGAGAGCGAGCGAGCUGUGCGGCGUGCAGUAAUUUGGUAAAACAAGCGAGCUUGGCUCUCUCUGAAGACGUAAAGCCUAUUUUUUUUUCCAGGGAAAUACAUGGUUGCUGCACCAGUGAAGAAGCCGGCCACCUGCAGGUUUCUUCCGGAGAGCGUAAAACAUACACCGUCUUCGUGAAGAUUUUGAAUGUAAAGAACCCUGUCUAUUUAACAGAGAUCCUGCAUUUUUAAAGUCAAAUAGUACAAUGUAUGUGGCUAAUCAAGUAGGUAAACAACUUACAUAUGGUUGCUGCACUUGAAGGAACCACCAUUCUCAUGCACAGCAAAUUGAAGAAACAAUGGCACUAAUGAGCCUUGCAAAAUGCAACUGUGAAUAAUGAAAGACAACACUGCAUUUUGCAACAGAAAGAAUAAAGGUGAAAUAAUCAGCUAGCA
ensembl:lncRNA